rnacentral:tRNA from 1 species
AACUUUAUAAUAUAAUAUAUAAUACGUCGGCUAUUAUAUUAAAAGCGUAGGUUCGAUUCUUACUAAAGUUC